AGCAGGUUUAGAAACUUUUUUCCUAAAAAGGUUGGCUUUUAUCAUUGUAGAUGCUAUAAUAAGGAUACUUAUUUAGAUUCGGUAGAAAUACAGGAUGGGAUACAUCUUUCGUCUUGAAAUUUAACUUUGAACUAAAUAGUAAUAAACAGUGCAACAAUUGCACGUGGAGGUAAAAGAAUGAACACAGGUUCUGUAAAAUGGUUUAACGCUGAAAAAGGCUUCGGUUUCAUCGAAGUUGAAGGUGGAGACGAUGUAUUCGUACAUUUCUCUGCAAUCCAAGGCGAAGGUUUCAAAACUUUAGAAGAAGGUCAAACAGUUACUUUCGAUAUCGAAGAAGGAAACCGCGGACCACAAGCUGCUAACGUUGUUAAAAACUAAUAAGCAGAUAAUCGAAAAAAGCUGAUCAUCAUUGAUCAGCUUUUUUU
rfam:Oceanobacillus oncorhynchi strain Oc5 genome assembly, contig: CONTIG000001